rnacentral:misc_RNA from 1 species
UUUCCGUAGGUGAACCUGCGGAAGGAUCAUUAUCGUAUUACCCAGGUGCGAGGCCUUUCGCACAUACGACACUCCGUGCACGCCCGAGUGCACACACACCUAUCCAUCCCACCCCUAUGUGCACCACCGCGCCUGUCCCCCUUUGGCUUGUUCGGAGGUGGGUUGACGUUUUCACACAUACUUACUAUGCACUGUGGAAUGUUUUUCUUGUUUUUGCGUUCACGCCAUCAAUACACCUUUCAACAACGGAUCUCUUGCCUCUCCCAUCGUUGAAGAACG